rnacentral:rRNA from 1 species
AUGAGGGCGCAGCGGGCGGAGGGCCCGGCGACGGUGCUGGCCAUCGGCACGGCGACGCCAGACAACUGCGUGUCCCAGGCGGACUACACGGACUACUACUUCCGUGUCACCAAGGGCGAGCACCUCAUCGACCUCAAGAAGAAGUUCAAGCGGAUGUGUAAGUAG